CUGGCGGGCAACUCACAACCCCUGGGCUGGGGGACUGAAGCUUUCUUGUCUGUGGGAUGCUCUUGCUGCAUUUUCCCACACCCAGGGAAAGGCAGAGAGCUAGAGAGGAGAAGCCAAAGUUAAGACUGUUGGAAGUAGCUUCAGUCAGGGCUGUGCAGAACAUGACCUCCCCUAAAAGUCAGUAUUUGCCAGCCAAUAACACAUAGUUUUCUAAUUGCCUCAGUCUCCUUAACUGCAUUUUAGAUCAGAGACCCCAAAAUCUUCAGCACAGGAGAAAGAGCUGCAGGGAGAGAAUGAAGCAGGGCACAUCCAUAGCACUAAUUUGCUGCCUGGUGUGUCCCAGUGGUGUCAGUGCCUCAGAGAAGUAUCUCAGCUACUUCUGCCCUCUGAACACUUGUGUGGAAAUGACCAGGAAACAAAGGGCCCAGCUGCUCCUGGAAGAGGAGAAGACUAUUGGUGUUGCUUGAAUGGAGAGGCUGAGGACAGUGCCUGACUGUCUAAAUUCACAUCCUGGGAAAGCAGUUGGAGAUUGAUUCUGGUUUGGUCACCCAGUGAUGAGCUAAUUUUUAACACCAACCAUUGUGCCCGGUCCUCAGCCAGCGUGCGAGCGAGCAAAUCACCCCAGCAGCAUGGAUCGUUCUUCUGCACCCAUUGUUAUGGAAAUCGCCUUAGAGACUGUUGCUCCAGCAAACAUUUUUAGAAGCACGAGUGAGUUGCGCAACAGGAAAACUACUCGGAGCCUAAAAAAAGUACCAUUUCUGGCACACUGGCCCUGCUGCUGAAGAGCCCUUCCUCUUGCACCUCCUUCACCUGCUGGGAUUAAAAGCUACAGGUGACGCGUCUGGAGCCUGUCCCAAAACUUACGCGGUUGCUGAUGCGACCGCAGAACGGAGGUGAAACAUUUCUCUUCUGGUUUCAUGGGACCACACGCCAGCGGCUACACCUGCCUCCCUCGAGCCACCAAAAAGGAUCCCCGUAAGAUUUCUGGGCUGUUUUCAGCAGAACAGGGACUUUAGACCCAGAUUUUGGUUCUUUGCACAAGCUGCUGCUGUUCCCCUUGUGAUCUGAAGGUGCUUCGAUAAACAUUAUGAAAGGUCAGCUAUUUUCACUGUGCCUGUGGCUUGCAUAAGAACCUCAACAUCCUCUGCUGCAAAGAGCAGCGUUAGGAACUUCCUACUGCCACACUGAAUCACAAUAGCUUCCCACAGCAACCAGUGGUAAAAAUAAACUGGGCAAGGGGAAGUGGACAGCUUCUGCUGUUCCGCUUUCUUGGGCACACUUGAGUCACAAAAAAAGCGAUGUAGAACAAGACAUUUAUUUUGCUGAUGCCAAUGAAAUCCAUGAAUGGUUCAGAGCACGGUCCCACUGAAAUCAUGGAGUGUUUUGCAAUGAGAUUCUCACUGUGCUCUAAGUUAAGCAUGUGCUCAAAUGCUGUCUUAAGUUGGUAUUUUCAUUAGGAUCCAGCCUUAGGAAUUAGACUAAAAAGAGGCAGGGACUCCUGCACGUCUGAGUGCUGCUUUUGUACUAGAAGCACAGGAAUGCAGCCCUCUUGGCAUAUUUCAUGUGUUAAGGGUAUAUAAAAGACCACUGGGGAGACAGUGGCUCUGAAAUGGUUUCAGUAGUAAUUUCAGCUUAGAGAAAAGCAGAUUUUGACCGGAAGAAAAGUGUCUUCAGAUACAAAUCAAUUUGAAGUUUUGCCUAGAGACAAUGCCAUUUGAACAGCAUAGUUGUCAACAUUACAACUAAGACUCUGUGUAUGCACGUGUUUGUUUGCGUGUGGGGGAGUGUUUUAAGAGCAAUAUCUUUCCUGUUACACAAGGUUCAGCCCAGUUCUUGAAAUUCAGCCAGCUGGGGAAAAAACCUGAGGAGACCUAGUCAGAUAGCUGAGCCUGGGAAUCUUCUGGUGAAACAGAUCCUGCCUCUUCCCUCCAAACAGUGGGUGCUGACAAAGUUUGUAUUAAGAGGCUAAAGAGAUGAGAAAUUAGGGAGAAAAAAAAAAUAAAAAUAAAUGGUUCAUCUGUCCCAGACUGGGGAGAAGGAAUGGUUUCCACUCAUGUUCACAGGAAUUUUGAGAGCAAGGGCUUGUAGGAUAACCCAGGGGAGAGGAGGCCACAGGAGAGCUCCAGUCAAACCUCUGGCUGAAAGCUGGGUCAGCUCUGGGGUCAGGCCAGGUUACCUGGGGGUGCGUUGAGUUUGAUCUUGAAAACCAGAGAGGAUGAAGAUUGCACAACCUCUCUGAGCAAUCCACCAAUGUUUGACUGCCUGCAUGGUGAAAAUAGACUGCAGUAGAAGUGGCUUAUACAGAACCACGUUUUUAAUGUCAUCCCGCUCAUUAAAAAGAGAAAGAUCAAAUCUAUUUUGUAACAGGAACAGUUUGUGUGAGGCACGGAAAACUUCUGGUACCAGAGGACUGAUUCACAUAAGAAGGAAUGUAAAAGAUGGAAGGAAACCAAAGGGUGCCUCUAGUUACAUUCAUAUCUUGAAAUGUUAGUGUUGCAGCACAAAAGGUUUGUUUUUAUAGUAGUCGAUACCAACAGGGAAGAUACUCCAAAAAUAAACAAGGAUGCACGGAUAAAAAACAUCUAUGCUGUAGCUCAUUCUGAGAACGAAACGGAACGCGGAGGCUUAAUGAGUCGCAGUCGAUUUUAUUUUGGAACUGCGAGUUCCUGUCAAAGACCAAACAGGGCUGGGCACGACCCAGUCCAAACCCACGCGGGCCUCCACACGCGUGGGCCGGGUCAC